CUUCCUUGAACACCACUUGCGACGUCCUCUCUCCCGGCCACCGGCAUCAGGCGACGCCGAGGACUGAAGGCCUGUUCUUCGCAGCAAGCCGAGGUCGCGAUGUUUGCAGAGUACAUCAUCAUGCAGUGUCUCCACACUCAGAUGAUUAAUAGUGACAUGAGUCCAGUCCUGGGUGUGUGGAGGGCUGCACAGUGACGGGUAAAUCUACAGUACAGCAGGAGAGAGGAGAAAUCCCUCAGCAUGGGGACUGCUGUCCUGUCAUGUGCUGCAUUGCUAUUGAGAAACAGAGGGACUCUGACCUUUAGGAGGUGGAGGUGAUCCUCAGUGUCUCAGCCUGGCUUCUCUCAGUGUAGAGCAUCAGAGUUCUGCAGAUCUCCACCAGAUCUCCUUUCUCCUUCUCUUUGGUGUCCUACAGGAAUUCAAUCAAUGGAUUUCUGGAAAAAUCUUAUAAAUGCAGUUGUGGUCUUCAAACAAUUUUUAAGAGUGUCAGUAAAGAUGAGGUGUUCCAAAUAUUGUAAGAUCAUUGGGUUCUUAUUUCUUUAAUUCCAUUUUUAAAACAGCAUCUAAAUUAUGAUGCUAAUAUUUUGAAGGCCUUUGAUUCCUCAACAAUGAAUCCUUAGUCAUCUUUUAAACAAUUAAUCAGCAUUGUUUUUGAGCUAAUAAUUUAUGCACUUAUUUUUUUUCUUUUCUUUUUUUCAAACCCAUUCUUCUAGCAUUUUCUAGAAAAGUUUGAGACUAGCAUACUUUUGGUGUAUAUUGAAAGAAGUUUUUAGAUUCAUGUCUGUACAUAAUCAAGGCCCAACCUUAGGCAUGAAAGAGAGUUUGACUGAGAAGGCUUUUCAUGAAGAUCACUUGACUGUUA